GGCUGAAUGCCUCAGUGGUUAAAGUGCCUAUUUUUGCCUCCGGCCCAAUUUAAGGAGUCCUGGGUUCAAAUCCUGACUUGGUCA